rnacentral:rRNA from 1 species
UACAGAGGCCUCGAGCGUUAGGCGGAAUCACUGGGCUUAAAGCGCGUGUAGGCGGAUCGUUAAGUACCUUGUGAAAUCCCACGGCUCAACCGUGGAACUGCUGGGUAUACUGGCGGUCUUGGGCCAUCGAGGGGUCGCCGGAACAAGCGGUGGAGCGGUGAAAUGCGUAGAUAUCGCUUGGAACGCCAAAGGUGAAGACAGGCGACUGGAGAUGUGCCGACGCUGAGACGCGAAAGCCAGGGGAGCGAACAGG